AGGACGAACGCUGGCGGCGUGCUUAACACAUGCAAGUCGAACGGAAAGGCCCUUUCGGGGGUACUCGAGUGGCGAACGGGUGAGUAACACGUGGGUGAUCUGCCCUGCACUUUGGGAUAAGCCUGGGAAACUGGGUCUAAUACCGAAUACACCUUGCUGGCUGCAUGGCCUGGUGGGGGAAAGCUUUUGCGGUGUGGGAUGGGCCCGCGGCCUAUCAGCUUGUUGGUGGGGUGAUGGCCUACCAAGGCGACGACGGGUAGCCGGCCUGAGAGGGUGUCCGGCCACACUGGGACUGAGAUACGGCCCAGACUCCUACGGGAGGCAGCAGUGGGGAAUAUUGCACAAUGGGCGCAAGCCUGAUGCAGCGACGCCGCGUGAGGGAUGACGGCCUUCGGGUUGUAAACCUCUUUCAGUAUCGACGAAGCGCAAGUGACGGUAGGUACAGAAGAAGCACGGCAACUACGUGCCAGCAGCCGC
rnacentral:rRNA from 1 species